GAAAGCAAUUUAAGAAACGCAUAAAGAAAUAUCACUAUACACCGUACAACUCAUUUAGAGAGAUGAUAAAAAAUCGUCUAAUGACUGUACCUGAACUGCAUUUUCAAAAAUUAGUUCAAUUUUGGAGGCUUGAUAUCAUCAAAGUUAUUUCUGACAAAAAUCAUGAAAACAGAUCCAAGCAAAAAUAAAAUCAUCGAAUGGGUCCAGUUAGUUUUGAAUUAGUACGUGCUGAAUUGCGUGCAAAGAAGGAGGACAAUAAAGAUCCAUCACAAUCUGAGAUGUUUGUUGUAACUCAUACGAGCAAAAAAAGAGAGAUUGAUUCGGGAACACAAGAGACAAUUGAACAUCUUCAAAAUUUGAAAGAAGCAGGAUACAAUGAUGAUGAAGCAAUUCAAACAGUUUUCGAAAAGGAGAGUGAUAAACC